CGGUCCGCUGACGAGUGGCGAACGGGUGAGUAACACGUGGAGACCUAUCCUAGGGUACGGGACAACAGUUAGAAAUGACUGCUAAUACCGUAUACGUCCUAAGGGAGAAAGAUUUAUUGCCCUUGGAGGGGUCCGCGUUGGAUUAGCUAGUUGGUGAGGUAACGGCUCACCAAGGCGACGAUCCAUAGCUGUUCUUAGAGGAAGAUCAGCCACACUGGGACUGAGACACGGCCCAGACUCC
rnacentral:rRNA from 1 species